rnacentral:rRNA from 1 species
AUUGAACGCUGGCGGCAUGCUUUACACAUGCAAGUCGAACGGUAACAGCACUUCGGUGGCUGACGAGUGGCGAACGGGUGAGUAAUACAUCGGAACGUGCCUAGUAGUGGGGGAUAACUACUCGAAAGAGUAGCUAAUACCGCAUGAGAUCUAAGGAUGAAAGCAGGGGACCUUCGGGCCUUGCGCUACUAGAGCGGCUGAUGGCAGAUUAGGUAGUUGGUGGGAUAAAAGCUUACCAAGCCGACGAUCUGUAGCUGGUCUGAGAGGACGACCAGCCACACUGGGACUGAGACACGGCCCAGACUCCCACGGGAGGCAGCAGUGGGGAAUUUUGGACAAUGGGCGCAAGCCUGAUCCAGCAAUGCCGCGUGCAGGAUGAAGGCCUUCGGGUUGUAAACUGCUUUUGUACGGAACGAAAAGCCCUCUUCUAAUACAGGAGGGUCAUGACAGUACCGUAAGAAUAAGCACCGGCUAACUACGUG